AUAAGGCUUGGCACACUGUGUAGAUCAGGAAAACCUGCAGAAGCUUGAAAUUUGAAAAUGUCCAGACGGAAUGCCAGUGACUGGAUUGUGACACUGACAGGCAAGUAAAAGAAGAGUUUGAGGAUGGUUUUUGACUAGUUAACUUAAACUAGAAACUUAAGCACACUUAAGUUUCGCUGCGUUUCAAGAGUGUUGUUAAUCAGUGUUGGAACUCGCAGUGGUGCAGCGUGCUGAACUGGAGAAGGUACAUGUGCACACAGCUGCCUUCGCUGCUGGGCUGUGGUCAGCAUCCUAAGAGCAAGAUGAUGUACCCUGAGAACAAGUGUUUAGCAGCAAGCAACGUUUGGUGAGAAUAACAAAGUCUGGCUGAGCAUGUUUUUCCAUUGCUCUAUGUUUUUCAUCUUUACACUGAAUAUAAACCAAAGCACUUUUGUGAUAACACUGGGUUGGUGGGAAUAACUAUAAAUAAAUGUUCUGUGUAACUGCUGUGCUCCAGUGGACCAUACCAAAACUGUAAGUACUCAUUUGAAGUAAAUUGAGUCUCUGGCAUUCAGCUUACAUGGAAUUAUUUUUAUCAGUAUUAAAAAUGUUGGUGCCUGAA